rnacentral:rRNA from 1 species
UACGGAGGGUGCUAGCGUUGUUCGGAAUCACUGGGCGUAAAGGGCGUGUAGGCGGUCUGUUAAGUCUGAUGUGAAAUCCCCUCGCUCAACGAGGGAACUGCGUCGGAUACUGGCAGACUCGAGUACCGGAGAGGAAGGUGGAAUUCCCGGUGUAGCGGUGAAAUGCGUAGAUAUCAGGAAGAACACCCGUGGCGAAGGCGGCUUUCUGGGACGGUACUGACGCUGAGACGCGAAAGCGUGGGGAGCAAACAGG